AUAGGGGCAACACAUUUGGGCGACGCCCCCUUUCACCACGCUGAUGACCGUUUGAAGAAGAGGAAGUGCGCUCGCGGCUUCGGUGCCGCUGGGGGCUCGUCGCAAGGCCUCGCCAUGUCAGAGCCAUCCGAGCCGUCGCGGACGCCGACGUCAUCCUCAGUGGCGAAGGACGAGACCUCAGCUCUGCAAAGAACGAAGAGCUCCAUCGAUGCGUCGUCGCUGCAGCAAAAAGCCAGCUCAACCAG